UAUAUAUAACAAAUAAUUCACAUGAUUGUGAUUCUAAUGGGGAGUCUGAGGCAGUAGUAUUUGAAAUCUUGCAUUGUCUUUAAACUAUAGCUGGGCUCAUACCCCCAGGCCUUCUCCCCUCUGACAGGAAGGGUCAGCUGUGACUGGGAAGGGGAAGCCCCUUGGUGUAGGAAUUCUCGGGAAAGGUCUCUGGGGGAUGCAUAUGAUCUUUGGGAAGGCGGGCAUACAGUUUGGAAAAGCGCAUUUAGAAUAGUCACAUUUUAAAUAAUCUUUAGAGUGUUCAUGUUUUAAACAGUGGAAAAACACACUGUAGGGUGACUGGGGGUUUUUUUUUUUGUGUGUGUGCUUUUUGAUUCAUAUAGCCAUAGGAACUAGUUUGACAGAGUAUCUUCAGUCAGUAGGAAAUGGGUUAAAUAUUUUUUAUUAAACAGUGAUUCGGAGGGAGGCUUCAUGGUGGUAUGCAUUUUUUUUUUUAAGAUGAGGCAGUGUCUUAUUAAGGUAGUAAGAGGUUUUUACUUGUCAGCAUUUUAACACC